rnacentral:lncRNA from 1 species
AUCCAGCAUCCAUCCAUCCUUCCACCACCAUCCAUCCAUCCCGAGGCAGGCGGAUCACCUGAGGUCAGGAGUUUGAGACAAGCCCAGCCAACUUGGUGAAACCCCGUCUCUACUAAAAAUACAAAAAUUAUCAGGGCAUGAUGGUGUGCACUUGUAAUCCCAGCUACUACUAGGGAGGCUGUGAAAAAGCCAGAAACUCAGCCAUGAGCAAUGGGCACAGACACAAAAGCUCCCCCAAGGCUGGGCGUGGUGGCUCACGCCUGUAAUCCCAGCACUUUGGGAGGCCAAAGUGGGCGGAUCACGAGGUCAGGAGAUCGAGACCAUCCUGGCUAACAUGGUGAACCCCCGUCUCCACUAAAAGUACAAAAAUUAGCCCAGCAUGGUGGUGCUUGCCUGUAAUCCCAGCUACUUGGGAGGCUGAGGCAAGAGAAUCGUUUGAACCUGGGAGGAGGAGGUUGCAGU